AUUGAACGCUGGCGGCAGGCUUAACACAUGCAAGUCGAGCGGAGUGAUGGUGCUUGCACUAUCACUUAGCGGCGGACGGGUGAGUAAUGCUUAGGAAUCUGCCUAUUAGUGGGGGACAACAUCUCGAAAGGGAUGCUAAUACCGCAUACGUCCUACGGGAGAAAGCAGGGGAUCACUUGUGACCUUGCGCUAAUAGAUGAGCCUAAGUCGGGUUAGCUAGUUGGUGGGGUAAAGGCCUACCAAGGCGACGAUCUGUAGCGGGUCUGAGAGGAUGAUCCGGCACACUGGGACUGAGGCACGGCCCAGACUCCUACGGGAGGCAGCAGUGGGGAAUAUUGGACAAUGGGGGGAACCCUGAUCCAGCCAUGCCGCGUGUGUGAAGAAGGCCUUAUGGUUGUAAAGCACUUUAAGCGAGGAGGAGGCUCUUUUGGUUAAUACCCAAGAUGAGUGGACGUUACUCGCAGAAUAAGCACCGGCUAACUCUGUGCCAGCCGCCGCGGUAA
rnacentral:rRNA from 1 species